GACGAACGCUUUCGGCGUGCUUAACACAUGCAAGUCGAACGGAAAGGCCCUGCUUUUGUGGGGUGCUCGAGUGGCGAACGGGUGAGUAACACGUGAGUAACCUGCCCUUGACUUUGGGAUAACUUCAGGAAACUGGGGCUAAUACCGGAUAGGAGCUCCUGCUGCAUGGUGGGGGUUGGAAAGUUUCGGCGGUUGGGGAUGGACUCGCGGCUUAUCAGCUUGUUGGUGGGGUAGUGGCUUACCAAGGCUUUGACGGGUAGCCGGCCUGAGAGGGUGACCGGCCACAUUGGGACUGAGAUACGGCCCAGACUCCUACGGGAGGCAGCAGUGGGGAAUAUUGCACAAUGGGCGGAAGCCUGAUGCAGCAACGCCGCGUGCGGGAUGACGGCCUUCGGGUUGCAAACCGCUUUCGCCUGUGACGAAGCGUGAGUGACGGUAAUGGGUAAAGAAGCACCGGCUAACUACGUGCCAGCAGCCGCGGUGAUACGUAGGGUGCGAGCGUUGUCCGGAUUUAUUGGGCGUAAAGGGCUCGUAGGUGGUUGAUCGCGUCGGAAGUGUAAUCUUGGGGCUUAACCCUGAGCGUGCUAUCGAUACGGGUUGACUUGAGGAAGGUAGGGGAGAAUGGAAUUCCUGGUGGAGCGGUGGAAUGCGCAGAUAUCAGGAGGAACACCAGUGGCGAAGGCGGUUCUCUGGGCCUUUCCUGACGCUGAGGAGCGAAAGCGUGGGGAGCGAACAGGCUUAGAUACCCUAGUAGUCCACGCUGUAAACGGUGGGUACUAGGUGUGGGGUCCAUUCCACGGGUUCCGUGCCGUAGCUAACGCUUUAAGUACCCCGCCUGGGGAGUACGGCCGCAAGGCUAAAACUCAAAGGAAUUGACGGGGCCCCGCACAAGCGGCGGAGCAUGCGGAUUAAUUCGAUGCAACGCGUAGAACCUUACCUGGGUUUGACAUGGAUCGGGAGUGCUCAGAGAUGGGUGUGCCUCUUUUGGGGUCGGUUCACAGGUGGUGCAUGCCUGUCGUCAGCUCGUGUCGUGAGAUGUUGGGUUAAGUCCCGCAACGAGCGCAACCCUUGUUCACUGUUGCCAGCACGUUAUGGUGGGGACUCAGUGGAGACCGCCGGGGUCAACUCGGAGGAAGGUGGGGAUGACGUCAAGUCCUCAUGCCCCUUAUGUCCAGGGCUUCACGCAUGCUACAAUGGCUGGUACAGAGAGUGGCGAGCCUGUGAGGGUGAGCGAAUCUCGGAAAGCCGGUCUCAGUUCGGAUUGGGGUCUGCAACUCGACCUCAUGAAGUCGGAGUCGCUAGUAAUCGCAGAUCAGCAACGCUGCGGUGAAUACGUUCCCGGGGCU
rnacentral:rRNA from 1 species